rnacentral:rRNA from 1 species
UACGGGGGGAGCAAGCGUUGUUCGGAUUUACUGGGCGUAAAGGCGCGUAGGCGGCCACCGCAAGUCGGUUGUGAAAUCUCUGGGCUUAACCCAGAAAGGUCAACCGAUACUGCGGGGCUAGAGUGCAGAAGGGGCAACUGGAAUUCUCGGUGUAGCGGUGAAAUGCGUAGAUAUCGAGAGGAACACCUGCGGCGAAGGCGGGUUGCUGGGCUGACACUGACGCUGAUGCGCGAAAGCCAGGGGAGCAAACAGG